rnacentral:rRNA from 1 species
AAUCAACGCUGGCGGCGUGCCUAACACAUGCAAGUCGAACGCGAAAGGGGCUUCGGCCCUGAGUAGAGUGGCAAACGGGUGAGUAACGCGUGGGUGACCUACCUUCGAGUGGGGGAUAAC